GCUGAUCCUGGUGCCUGAGCCGUACUUCAACGAGCCGGGGUACGAGCGCAGCCGCGGCACGUGCGUGGGCACCUUGGCCUCGCUCGAGUACAACUCCAACAUCUACCAGGCGUGCGUGCGCUGGGCCAUGCUCGACCAGCUGCGCUCGCCCGAGCCCUGCUUCCGGGAGGUCAUACAGACUCACUUUUGGAUAAAACGGAACGAGAUAAUGCAAACCGUUGCGAACUGGAUCACUGAUCUCGAGGGGCAGAGCGGGGACGAGCGGACACACCGAACCAUCAAUCACAACCUGUGCGCACUCAAGCGGCACUAUGUGAAGCUACAAGAGGAGCUGGCCAAGUUGCCGGUGCCCGCCGGCCUCGAAGAUCUGGACGAGCCGUUCAAGUUGCCGGCCGCGCCCGGCCCCGCGCCGCUGCCCCGCCUGCCCGCCGCCGCCGCGCUGCUGGCGCCGAGCCCGCCCGCCUCGCCGCCGCCGCACGACGACGACGUGGUGGACCAGGACAUGGAGAAGAUCGUGUCCGAGGUGGUGGACUGAGCGGACUGCGGACGACAGCUGAUACCACUCACGAGCGGGUGGACGGAAACUGGCGACACCAACUCGCGACACCCACUCGCGACACCUACUCGCGACACCCACUCGCGACACCCACAGUUUAAUACAUGUUUGUAUGGACAUUAUUCAAUUUGUCACUUAAAAAAAUUUUGUUAACUUUUUUAUAACCCGUUAAAGUAGAUGAACGUUUCCAUAAUCCUAAGUUAGUUCGCGAGUUGAUUGUGCCUGUCCAGAAUAAAGAUCUUUUCGUACUUGUAAAAACAGAUAAAAAAUAUGUUAAUUAAUCUCCAAUGAUUCCCGUUUUAUCUUAUCGUGGGAAACAUUGGAGAUGAAGGACUAAAUAAUUGGUGCAAAUAUUUAGUUUGAACACUACGAGUACGUGGAUGUUGCAUUUAGAUUAGUUCUUGGGCGCAUACGAUCCAGUUUCAGCACAAACUGUUGUUAAUAAAAAAUGUAACUAAGGUUUGACGUGGACGUAAUUACUGCUCGUGUUGGAAUGAUAAAGCUGGCUUGUCCUUAAUAGUUCGUGUUUCUCCAAUAUGUGUAUUCCGACCAGUGUGUAGGGCGCCCUUUAUAUAUGUAAAGAUGUUAGUGACACGUAGUUAAUCGUAAUUUAUGUAUAUUAUUAUUAUUAUCCUUGCUGAGUUGAGACAACAACAAUAUAGCCGUCGCGAUCCAUGCGCUUGUAAUUAUUUGUAUUUCUGUUUUGAUUGUUUCAUAGGUGAGUUAAGCGAGCGUUUAGCGUGUCUUUUAGUUAACAUGUAUUGUGAUAUUAUAACGGGCUCACAGACCCGAUAAGUUAUUUUAUGGCGUACACAAGCAUUCGCUCGAGGUAGGGAAGUAGCCGGAGAUUGGCUACCCCGUGUUUGUUUAGGGUUUUUGCACAUUAUACCGCAUUACAUGCGAGCGUACCACACGGAUAGCAAGAGGUGAACCAUCGAGCUAUAUUUUAUUUGCUAUUGAUAUUAUAAUAUCAUCAUUCAAAUGCUCCUUUUGCUAUUAUGCGAGAGCGCUAUGGUAUAAGUGUACGACGACCUUAAAACGACUCUGUACUGUAUCCCCCACAUACAUUAAGAGUCUAUUACAUAAAGCCGAGUGUACAUAUACGUAACCAGUAUCAGUGUCCAGCAGAUGUUUUACUCAAUCACUGGUUUCAUAUUAAUUAUACAGUAUGUAAUAUAUUAUAAACGUUUUAAAUUAUAAUUUACUGUACAUAUAUUGUGUAUCGAGUUUAAAUUUUGUAUUUAAGAUGUAUUUAGCGGU